AGAGUUUGAUCCUGGCUCAGAAUCAACGCUGGCGGCGUGCCUCAGACAUGCAAGUCGAACGCGAAAGCUCCCUUCGGGGGGCAAGUAGAGUGGCGCACGGGUGAGUAACACGUAGGUAAUCUACCUUUGGAUUGGGAAUAACCACCGGAAACGGUGGCUAAUACCGAAUAAUGCAGCGGCACCUAAUGGUGACAGUUGUUAAAGCGGGGGAUCGCAAGACCUCGCGUCUAAAGAGGAGCCUGCGGCGGAUUAGCUAGUUGGUAAGGUAACGGCUUACCAAGGCGAUGAUCCGUAGCCGGCCUGAGAGGGCGGUCGGCCACACUGACACUGACAUACGGGUCAGACUCCUACGGGAGGCAGCAGUCGGGAAUUUUGGGCAAUGGGCGAAAGCCUGACCCAGCAACGACGCGUGAAGGAUGAAAUCCCUCGGGAUGUAAACUUCGCAAGAACGGGAAGAAUAAGCCGGUGUUAAUACCUCCGGCGAUGACGGUACUGUUGAAGUCCCGU
rnacentral:rRNA from 1 species